rnacentral:rRNA from 1 species
CAUGCAAGUCGAGCGAGAACCAGGACUUCGGUCCUGGGGACAGCGGCGAACGGGUGCGUAACACGUGAGCAACCUGCCCCGAAGACCGGGACAAGCCGGGGAAACCUGGUCUAAUACCGGAUGCCCUCACCGGAUCGCAUGAUCUGGCGAGGAAAUGGAUUCCGCUUCGGGAUGGGCUCGCGGUCUAUCAGCUUGUUGGUGGGGUAACGGCCUACCAAGGCGACGACGGAUAGCUGGUCUGAGAGGACGAUCAGCCACACUGGGACUGAGACACGGCCCAGACUCCUACGGGAGGCAGCAGUUAGGAAUCUUGCGCAAUGGGGGAAACCCUGACGCAGCGACGCCGCGUGCGGGAUGAAGGCCCUCGGGUUGUAAACCGCUUUCAGCAGGGACGAAAUUGACGGUACCUGCAGAAGAAGGCCCGGCCAACUACGUGCCAGCAGCCGCGGUAAUACGUAGGGGCCUAGCGUUGUCCGGAAUUAUUGGGCGUAAAGAGCUCGUAGGCGGUUCGGCAAGUCGGAUGUGAAAUCUCCACGCUCAACGUGGAGGGGCCAUUCGAAACUGCCGUGACUCGAGUCCGGUAGGGGAGUGUGGAAUUCCCGGUGUAGCGUUGAAAUGCGCAGAUAUCGGGAGGAACACCAGUAGCGAAGGCGGCACUCUGGGCCGGUACUGACGCUGAGGAGCGAAAGCGUGGGGAGCGAACAGGAUUAGAUACCCUGGUAGUCCACGCCGUAAACGAUGGGCACUAGGCGUCGGGGGGAGCGACCCUCCCGGUGCCGUCGCUAACGCAGUAAGUGCCCCGCCUG